UCUUCGAGUAGAAGCGGUUAGCGCCAGCGGGUUUCCGGUGGCGUGGGACAUUGCUCUUGCG
rnacentral:ncRNA from 2 species